rnacentral:rRNA from 1 species
AUUUUUAAAUUUAGAAAUUAAAACAUUUAAAAUUGUUUAAAAAUUAAAAAUUUUAAAUUAAAAAUUUGCAAGUUUAUUUUAAUAGCAAAAUUUCUGGAUAAAGUGAAGAAUGGGUUAAUAUCAUCUGAAUUCAUAGGAUGAUAUGGCGUACCCGGCGAAUUGAAACAUCUUAUUAGCCGGAGGAAAAGACAUCAAUUGAGAUUCCCCAAGUAGUGGCGAGCGAACGGGGAAAAGCCUAAACCGUAUCCUUCGGGAUGCGGUGUUGCGAGAUAGUUGUACUCGUUUAAUCGGGGUAAUUUAUAUUUUAUUAGCAAAACGUCUCUGGAAAGAGCGGCCACAGAAAGUGAAAGCCUUGUAUGUGAAAAUGAAAUAUAUUUUAUGAAAUUAUUCUCAAGUAAGGCGGGACCGGUGAAAUCCCGUCUGAAUCCGGGGCCACUAUAGCUCCAAGGCUAAAUAUAGUAUGAGAUCGAUAGCGAACAAGUACCGUGAGGGAAAGGUGAAAAGUAUCCCGAUGAGGGAGAUGAAAUAGUAUCUGAAACCAUAUGCUAACGAAGAGUCAGAGCCCCGCCUCGGCGGGGUGAUGGCGUGCUUUUUGUAGAACGAUCCAGCGAGUUAGUUCUAUGUCGUUGACUAAGCAACUUUAUGUUGCGGAGUCGUAGUGAAAGCGAGCCUUAACGGGCGAACUUAAUGGCAUGGACUAGACCCGAAGCCAGGCGAGCUAUUUAUGAGCAGGGUGAAUCCCGAGUAAAAUCGGGAGGAGGCCCGAACCCACCAGCCGUGCAACACUGGGGGAUGACUUGUGAAUAGAGGAGAAAUUCCAAUCGAGCUUGGCGAUAGCUGGUUCUUCCCGAAAUAGCUUGAGGGCUAGCGUUUGAAAACUAUGCUUUGGAGGUAGAGCUACUGAAUGAGAAUUCGUGGUUCGCCAUAGGAUUCUCAACCAAACUCCGAAUUCCGAAGUAAUUAUUCAAGCAGUCAGUACUCCGGGGCUAAGCUCGGAGCACAAAAGGGAAAAAGCCCAUGAUCGCAAUCUAAGGUCCCAAAAUCUAUGUUAAGUGGUAAAGGAAGUAAAGUUUCUUAUACAUCUAGGAGGUUGGCUCAGAAGCAGCCAUCCUUUAAAGAGUGCGUAACAGCUCACUAGUCUAGAGACUUUGCGCCGAAAAUUCAACGGGGCUCAAACAUAGUACCGAAGAUGCGGGAAUUCUCUACGAAUUACGAAUUUGUACGAAUGUACGAAUGUGCGAAAUGCGAGUAAAAAAUUAUUCGUAAUUCGUAUAUUCGUACCGUAGUUAUUCGUAAUUCGUAGGGAAUUCGGUAGGGAAGCGUUCCAUAUGCGCUGAAGGUCGAGCGUGAGCGAGGCUGGAGUGUAUGGAAGUGAGAAUGCUGGAACGAGUAACCGCAAUUGGGGUGAGAACCCCCGACACCGAAAGUCUAAGGUUUCCUGGGCAAUGUCAAUCAUCUCAGGGUUAGUCGGGCCUAAGGCGAGGCCGAAAGGCGUAGUCGAUGGACACACGGUUAAUAUUCCGUGACUUUAAUAUUAUUCGAUGGAGUGACGUAUCCUAGUAGUUUUUGCCGAUUAUUGGAUUUUGGUAGAAAUAUUGAAAUGGCUAAACAGGCAAAUCCGUUUAGCAAUACAUUAAGAUAUUUCUGGAAUCCCGAUGCAAAUCGGGAGAACAAAAAUGAGCAGGGUAUCGAGAAAAGCUUCUAAGAUUAAUAAUAUUAGAACCGUACUAAAACCGACACAGGUAGACUGGGCGAGUAGCCUAAGGUGAACGAGUGAACCUUCGUUAAGGAACUCUGCAAAAUAGCGUCCGUAACUUAGGGAUAUGGACUGCCCGAUGCAAAUCGGGCCGCAGCUAAAGAUAUCAAGCGACUGUUUACCAAAAACACAGGUCUCUGCAAACCCGUAAGGGGAAGUAUAGGGGCUGACGCCUGACCAGUGCUGGAACGUUAACGGGAGCGGUGCAAGCCAAUCCCCGAAGCGCCAGUGAACGUCAGCGAUAACUAUAAUCGUUCUAAGGUAGCGAAAUUCCUUGACAGGUAAUGACGACAGAUAUUUGCCUGUAUGUUGUAGCGAUAUGACAUUAGAAAUCUGACUAAUAACGGUGAAACCUAAAUCCUAAAGAACUAUGGAUAUGGUAAUACCGUGGGAACUUGCUAUAAUUAUUUUAUAGUAAGACCUGUAACGACUGAAGCGAAAGCUGAGACUCGCGCAAUAUUUAUUCGCGGGUAAUACGUCAGCUCUUGUCGAACAAAAAAACAUAUGGAUUUUGCUUCUUAUGUUUCCGGCUUUAUUGAUGGUGAAGGAUGCUUUUCAGUAUCAUUCAACUUUCGAGAAAAGCUCAAAACUAAAAUUGAGGUUCGUCCGAGUUUUUCAAUCGGACAAAAUAUGCGCAGUUUGGAAAUUUUGAAAAUGAUUCAAAAAUUUUUCGAUUGUGGCAGUAUUCGUUUUUGCAAAAGCGAUCAAUGCUAUAAAUAUGAAACAAGAAACAUUGGUGAUUUGCGGAAAAAAAUCAUUCCUCAUUUUAGAAAAUUUCCUUUGAUGACUAACAAGAAAGCAGAUUUUGAAAUUUUUUCGAAAAUUUGUGAAAAAAUAGCUCAAAUGAAACAUCUCAAUCCCGUUGGUCUUAAAGAGGUUAUUGAUUUAGCUUAUAAGAUGAAUGGGUAUGGAAAAAGGAAAUAUAAAAAAGCAGAACUCCUAAGUGUUUUGGCAAGAUGAAGAUAUAGUCUGAAUUUUCGCGAAAGCGAUCAAACGAAUUGAAAUUCUGUCCCGCAUUAAAGGCGUAACGACUUGGUAAC